ACAGGAGAUAAAUCCAUAACAGAUCCUCAGCUGCUGUCAAUUGUACCCUGAUUUAUGGCGACUGAGAAUGUGGCUCAUUGUUCUUAAUAAAUACCUCUACCAAACAGAGCAGUUGGCUUUGUUGGCUAAGCUGAAUGCAGGAUUGAUACUUUCCCUCAGUCUAUAAAAGAAUAUGCUUGAAUUUAUAACAUCAAUGUGGGUGCUUGCGUUAAAUAUGUGAUGUUUCUGAUAGAUUUUCCUAAAAAGAUCCUUUCUCCUCUUGUUUUAUACCCAUCAUCCCUCAAAGAACUUCUGCAGGGCUUCAAAAGGAACUUCAUCUUCAGCUGGAAGAAAGUUGAUUGAAGCAGAUCAAUCAAAUGGAGUUACUAUAGGCAUAUGCUACCCCACCAGGGCUCAGCUUGCAGCUUGUGCGCCCAGUCUCUGCCGGUCUGGGGUGUAGAAAGGUAGACCCAGAAGCAAAUCUUUGUGUAGCGGGUCUGGAGUGAUAGAACUGGGAGAGAGGAGAGGGCUCAUGGAGAAGAUAAAGAGACUUUGUUGUGGUUUUUGCUAAAAACAAAAAUAGGAAAUGUUGGUUUUCAGCAACCAAAAGCCAAAACAUUUCCACUCAAACCUUCCAUUUUUCAGUUGCCAGGAGUCAACAUUUUUCAGUGUUUUUGGGCUGAAAUUAUUGGUUUUCAGUUGCCAUGAUUCUUUCUCUCCAUUUUCUUUUGAAGGCAACAUUUCAAGGACAUUGAAAAUGUUUUCAUUGUCAUUGAAAUUUGUUCAUAUGACCAAAAAACAUUUCCCAACCAACCAGCUCUACUGAGGACUAAGCUAUGCCAUUCAGGCACAACCCAUUACUGGGGGGGAGUGUGGAGUCACAUUGCAAUAGGGGGAACUUGAGGAGGGAGGGAUUUCCCCUGGGGAAAAAUACAAUUCCUUCCUGAACAUGCCUGGUGCACAAAAGGAUUGUGCACGAUCUCUCUCUUUUUUUUUUUUUUUUUUUUUUUUGGGGGGGGGGGUCUCCUUCUGAAACCACUGCUUACCCCAGUCCCUUAAAAUAAUCAGUUGUCCUAGUAUAAACAAUGCUCUAUGGACCCAAGCCACAGACCUAAUGGUGAGCUCCCAGAAUAGGAUACAGCUGCUGCAUCUGCAGUGCAGACACUGGUAAUGUGCACCUUUCAUGCUCAGACAGUGCUCAGUAAAAGCACACUUGUAUUUUUUAUAAUGCUCAGCAACUGUUUGCUAAGUCUGAGCUUCUAUAGAGCAGCUGAACAGAAACCUUUUGUCACUCUCAUUUUGCUAUUUUUAGCAAUAUUUAGUCUGCACUAAAUCUUAACAAAUCAUCAAGGUUUAUUUCACCUUCCAGAACAAUGCACUAUGAUAGAAAAGAUAAAGAUUUCUGAAAAUCAUCCUACACAGAAAAUUGGUCCUAUUUUGUGUGUACAAUGUAGGGACUCAUAUUUUUCUUUCCAUUUUUUUUAAAGGUAAAUCAGGUAGUGAAAUAUGUAUUUUUUUGAAAAGCAGUCUUUGCAGAUAUAGCAAAUUCAUUAACAGUUUCCCCCAGUUUUAAAUAGAAAGUGUUGUUCUCCGCAUAUCAAUGCCAGCACAAAUCAACACAAACAAUUAAGUCAUUAGCAAAGACUGAACGCCAGUAGUCCUAAUAUUAAGCCUUCUGGUGCUCUCCCUGGAAUUGUUUGACUUGAUUGCAUCCUGUUACAUUUACAAUCUGUUUUGUGUUAUUGGCUGAUAGGCUGACAGCCAUUUAAAUUCUUAUUCAGAAAAAUCCAAAAGCACUCACCUUUUGCUCUCAAAAGGAUGAGUCACUGAAAUCAAUGAUUGAUGCAGGGCAUUAAAGAGAAGGGUCCAUUUCUAUGAGGUGCUGAGUACCCUCAACUGAAGACAACAUCUCACAGGAUCAGGCCAUUAGCUAUUAUGAAUGAAUAGCCUCCUAGAACAGCCUGGGAGAGAUGAUGACUCUCUUUUUUCACGGUGGAGUGCUAUCUGCUCUAUUCAUUAAAAUGGAGCAGAUUAUUCCGUGUGGCUGCUCACCAGGUCUGUAUGGAGUGGUGUGAGACAGUCCCAAAUAAGGAGAAGCAGGAGUGAGUAGUUCCUGUGCUCCCUCAAGAACAUACUGUUAUUGCAAGUGGCCCCCCAGUGCAGCCAUUCAAGGGAGGGGGUCAGGGAGAGAAGGAAGCUUCUUACUUACCUUUCUGCCUGUGUGUGGCCAUGAAGAGGCAACUCUCAAUCAGGGUUUGAGAGUUCUAGAGAAAGAGAGGUUCAAGCUUCCAUGCAGUGAAGAUUUCGGUCCAUGCUUGUAGACAAAUCCAGUAUCAGGGUCAGGAAAUAUAUAUCAGCAGUGCUGAUUUGGGAUUCAUUGACUGUUUAAUCCAUUCACAGACUUCAGACCAACUUCAGGGAACAGAGUGGUGCACUGACCCAGUCCGUUGAAUUGGAUCUUCUGGCUAGUGACCCCUGCGAGAACUUUGACCAGCACCCUGGACUGCCUCUGAUGCAGAGUGACCUGCCAGUAUUCACAGCAUUCUGUUGUUUUAAGCUCCUGAGCAAUGACGAAUGAGGUGUAAGCAUCACUGCGCUUCUCCUUCAGAAUCACCUGUCUGACUCCUUCUCAUUGUAAAAUCAACCUACUAAUAAAAAAUUUGACUAAUCUUUGCUUCUAGAGAUGUAUAAGUCUAAGCUUGGAAACAUCUGAAUAGAUUUAGGAGCCAUUUUGGUUUGGAACUAAGAAUUCAAACGUGUCCAUAGCUUUGAGGUGUGUGAAAGAGAGCAGAGCAUGUAGGAAGGAGGUUAUCCUGGAGAUGGGUCUGCUUCCAAGUUAUUCAGAAUUAAACUAAAUUAGCCAUUUCAUCAAGUAAUUACAAUAGCUCAAUUGGAACCUCCCUCAGUAACACUUUUGUUAGCAUGGGUUUCACAUUUUGACCUUCUGUUAAUGUAAUGUUUAAUUAAAUGUAUGAAAACUAGUUUUAUAAUUGCUUCUUCCUUUGCAUGUUCUCUUGUGAUCUCUACUGCAAAUGUUGUGUAAAUGUG